AGAACGAACGCUGGCGGCGUGGAUAAGACAUGCAAGUCGAACGGAAUACUAUUUGUAGCAAUACAGAUAGUGUUCAGUGGCGUAAGGGUGCGUAACACGUGGGCAACCUGCCCGAGAGUUGGGGAUAACCCGUCGAAAGGCGGACUAAUACCGAAUGUGACGAGAGGCGACAUCGCCUCGUAGUUAAAGCCGGGGUUAAACCUGGCGCUCUUGGAUGGGCCCGCGGCCUAUCAGCUAGUUGGUGAGGUAACGGCUACACCGAAGGCGACGACUACCGUAACUGGUCUGAGAGGAUGAUCGAGUCACACGUAGGAACUGGAGACCGACGGUACCAGUACCUCCGUAACGGGAG
rnacentral:rRNA from 1 species